rnacentral:rRNA from 1 species
UACGUAGGGGGCAAGCGUUGUCCGGAAUCCUUGGGCGUAAAGGGCGUGUAGGCGGCCCGGUCAGUCCGCCGUGAAAGUCCAGGGCUCAACCCUGGAAUGCCGGUGGAUACUGCCGGGCUGGAGUCCGGAAGAGGCGAGUGGAAUUCCCGGUGUAGUGGUGAAAUGCGUAGAUAUCGGGAGGAACACCAGUGGCGAAGGCGACUUCCUGGCCUGUUCUUGACGCUGAGGCGCGAAAGCUAGGGGAGCAAACGGG